rnacentral:rRNA from 1 species
UACGUAGGGGGCAAGCGUUGUCCGGAAUCAUUGGGCGUAAAGAGCGUGUAGGCGGCCAGAAAAGUCCGCUGUGAAAACUCGAGGCUCAACUUCGAGCUGUCGGUGGAAACUUUCUGGCUAGAGUCCGGAAGAGGAGAAUGGAAUUCCUGGUGUAGCGGUGAAAUGCGCAGAUAUCAGGAAGAACACCCGUGGCGAAGACGGUUCUCUGGGACGGUACUGACGCUGGAGGAGCGAAAGCAUGGGGAGCGAACAGG